GACGAACGCUGGCGGCGUGCUUAACACAUGCAAGUCGAGCGGAGCGGCGAACGGGUGAGUAACGCGUGAGUAACUGCCCCCCUCUCUGGGAUAACAGUUGGAAACGGCUGCUAAUACCGGAUAGUGGGGGAUGGCUCGCGGCCUAUCAGCUUGUUGGUGGGGUAGUGGCCUACCAAGGCGACGACGGGUAGCCGGCCUGAGAGGGCGACCGGCCACAUUGGGCUGAGAUACGGCCCAAACUCCUACGGGAGGCAGCAGUGGGGAAUAUUGCACAAUGGGGGAAACCCUGAUGCAGCAACGCGCGUGCGGGAUGACGGCCUUCGGGUUGUAAACCGCUUUCAGCCAUGACGCGGUAGUGGCAGAAGAAGCACCGGCUAACUACGUGCCAGCCGCCGCGGUAAUUC
rnacentral:rRNA from 1 species